AGAGUUUGAUCAUGGCUCAGAGCGAACGUUAGCGGCGGGCCUAACACAUGCAAGUCGAACGAGAAUGUAGGCUUCGGUCUACUAGUAAAGUGGCAGACGGGUGCGUAACACGUGGGUAAUCUACCUUCCGGCGGGGGACAACAGUCCGAAAGGAUUGCUAAUACCGCGUACGUCAGCGGUGCCUACGGGCACUGUUGGGAAAGACGGCCUCUCCUUGGAAGCUGUCACCGGAAGAUGAGCCCGCGCCCCAUCAGCUAGUUGGUGAGGUAAUGGCUCACCAAGGCUUAGACGGGUAGCUGGUCUGAGAGGAUGAUCAGCCACACUGGGACUGCGACACGGCCCAGACUCCUACGGGAGGCAGCAGUGGGGAAUAUUGGGCAAUGGGCGAAAGCCUGACCCAGCCACGCCGCGUGAGUGAUGAAGGCCUUCGGGUCGUAAAGCUCUGUGGGGAGGGACGAACAAAUCUGGGGCUAAUCACCCGGAUCCUGACGGUACCUCCUAGCAG
rnacentral:rRNA from 1 species